CACAAGAAUGGUCCCACGGGGUAGAUUUCUGCAUUGUACCACUGGAUAGUGGUCUCUGGGUAGAGGACAACUCAUUAACCACUACCCUCUGAGUCCAGUCAUCCAAACAGAUCGGUUGUGUAGCCAUCUGGUCCAUCAAUCUAAACCUUGACUGGGCCUUCCUAACACGGAACAACAAUAUUACAGGAACCAGUGUUGAAAGAGUAAGAAAGUUGGGGUAAAUGACACCCCUUGCUUUCCCUUCAGUCACAUAAGAUCUUGUCAGGUCUCAGCUGGAGUAUUGUGUUCAGUUCUGGUUUUCAUAAGAAGAAAAACACAGACAGGCUGGAGAAUGUCCAGAGAGUCACAAAGAUAAUAAGAGCUGGAGAACCUGACCUGUGGGGAAACACUGAAGGACCUAGAUCUCA